rnacentral:tRNA from 1 species
GGGAUGGCUCAGCAGUUAAGAGCACUGGCUGGUCUUCCAGAGUACCUGGGUUCAAUUCCCAGCACCCA